rnacentral:rRNA from 1 species
CCUACGGGUGGCAGCAGUGGGGGAUAUUGCACAAUGGGGGGAACCCUGAUGCAGCGACGCCGCGUGGGUGAAGAAGCGCCUCGGCGCGUAAAGCCCUGUCAGCAGGGAAGAAAAUGACGGUACCUGAAUCAGAAGCCCCGGCUAACUCCGUGCCAGCAGCCGCGGUCAUACGUAGGGGGCAAGCGUUAUCCGGGUUUAUUGGGGGUAAAGGGGGCGUAGACGGCGGUGCAAGCCAGGAGUGAAAGCCCGUGGCCCAACCCCGGGCCUGCCCUUGGAACUGCGUGGCUGGAGUGCAGGAGGGGCAGGCGGAAUUCCUGGUGUAGCGGUGAAAUGCGUAGAUAUCAGGAGGAACACCGGUGGCGAAGGCGGCCUGCUGGACUGCAACUGACGUUGAGGCCCGAAAGCGUGGGGAGCAAACAGGAUUAGAUACCCUUGUAGUC